UGCGUAGGCGGAUUAAUAAGUCAGUGGUGAAAUCUUUCGGCCCAACCGAGAAACUGCCAUUGAUACUGUUAAUCUUGAGUUCGGUUGAGGUAGGCGGAAUGUGUAAUGUAGCGGUGAAAUGCUUAGAUAUUACACAGAACACCAAUUGCGUAGGCAGCUUACUAGACCGACACUGACGCUGAGGCACGAAAGCGUGGGGAGCGAACAGGAUUAGAUACCCUGGUAGUCC
rnacentral:rRNA from 1 species